GAUAACUUUUCCAUGGUGGCUCCAAACAUUAACACAGGUAGAAUGUGCCUGGGAGAAACUUGGCUGAGAUCCUCCCCACUAUGCUUAUCUUUGCAGACACAACCUAAUUGGAUCAGAAGGGCCAGGAGCUGGGAGGUAGGAGGAUGGAGUUCUCUGUCACUGUCAGCUCCAUUUCCAUGGAGAUCUAUUCAUUCAUCAAGCACUCAUUUAAGGCUUACAGAGUACCCAGUCUUUGCCAGGCUCAGUGGGGAACAGAAAGACAGCUGAAGCCAGCUUACAAUUUUGCAGACACAUGUAUCUGAAACACACAGUUUGAAAAGAGAACACAGCGCUCUUUAAGGCAAUAUUUAAGACAAGCGUGAAGCAAGACAGUACAGACACAAAGCAUACAAGUCAAAGACCUAGGCUUGUUUAACAAGGCAAUUCAUACAAAGUGCCUAAUACACACCUGGCACAUAGGCAGCAUUCAAUGAAAGUCAGUGCCUUGCCUUCCUGAGUUGUUAUUAUUAAUGCCAAAACUCCCUUUUCAGUAGUCAUAGUCUUUGGGGUUCUGGAAUACAUUUUAAAAAGGAAAAGCAUGUCUGGCCUCUAGAAUCAUAGAUCUUAUUAAUAUCAUGGUGUACAUCCAGUUGACAGAGAAGACAGGGCACUGGUUGUAUAUAGAUAAGGCUCACACAGGAAAUAGAAACACCUUUUCCUGGGGACCACACUUGUCAGUCCUCUCUCAAUUGGGACCCCUUCAAACUCAACCAGGGAAACUCAGGGCUCAUCAAUGCCACUUCCACUCCAAGGAAAAGUAUUUUUCUGAGGGAGAUCUUCCUUGUCUGUGCAUCCUCAACACCUUGUGUGCUCAAUAGUAGAGCUCUCCAAUCAUCCAGGCUCACAUAUGUCCUGCAUGUCAACUAAGAGAAAAGUAACCCUUAUCAGAGAAUAUGCUACAGUUUAUCUGAGGAUGUUUUUUAAGAUGUAAUAAAGUGCAGGAGGAUAAAAGUUGGCUUAAACCUGCAGCAGGGAUCCCUGGGUGGCGCAGCGGUUUGGCGCCUGCCUUUGGCCCAGGGCACGAUCCUGGAGACCCGGGAUCGAAUCCCAUGUCGGGCUCCCGGUGCAUGGAGCCUGCUUCUCCCUCGGCCUGUGUCUCUGCCUCUCUCUCUCUCUCUCUCUCUCUCUGUGUGACUAUCAUAAAUAAAUAAAAAUUUAAAAAAAUAAAAAAAUAAAAAAUAAAUAAACCUGCAGCAGAUCUGACCCCAGACACAUCGAGGCCCAGGGUUGCUCUUCCAACUCUAAAGGAAAUUGUUCUCAAAACUGAGGUCUUAGGCUGCAAAGUGACCCAAUGGUAUAUCUCUGAAUUUCCUCUAUCUUGUAUAGAAUGUGUAGACCUACCCCUUCAUCUCCUAUGCUUUGUCCUAUCACCAUAUUCUAGGAGGGACUUUUCUCUUACGGGCAGACCAAGUAUCACCUUCUCAGCCAGCUGGUUUGUAGGCCCAUGACUUGUACUGGCCCCCCUCUGGCCAUGCUCACAUUCACCUACCCCUCUACAUAGUUGUGAUUCUCUGAGGGUCCAACACAGUGAGUGAGUCUGAAUUAACAGAAAAGAUCUUAGAGUCCGAGGACUGAAUUAAGUGACUACAAAUCAGGAAAUGAGGUCAGCUAAAAUCUGACAUUGAAAAACAGAAGAGGAUAAAAUCAUGAUGAAUUUAAAAUCUUGAUAAAUAAAUUUUAGAUUGUAACACUUUGAAACACAGGAGAACUCCCCUAGUGUA
rnacentral:lncRNA from 1 species